UGAGUACGAGAUGCUACGGCGUCGAAGCAGUCUAGGUCAUACUUCCAAGAAAAGCUUGCACUGUCAUAAACAAAGAAUGCCUGUACCAUAACCGACACAGGUGGGUAGGUAGAGUAUACUAAGGGGCGCGAGAUAACUCUCUCUAAGGAACUCGGCAAAAUGACUCCGUAACUUCGGGAGAAGGAGUGCCUUAUUUUUAAGGUUGCAAUAACAAGAUCCAAGCAACUGUUUACCAAAAACACAGGUCUCCGCUAAGUCGUAAGACGAUAUAUGGGGGCUGACGCCUGCCCAGUGCCAGAAGGUUAAAGAAGUUGUUAGCAUUUGCGAAGCUGAUAACUGAAGCCCUGGUGAACGGCGGCCGUAACUAUAACGGUCCUAAGGUAGCGAAAUUCCUUGUCGGGUAAGUUCCGACCCGCACGAAAGGCGUAAUGAUUUGGAUACUGUCUCGGAGAGGGGCUCGGUGAAAUAGACUUGUCUGUGAAGAUGCGGACUACCUGCACCUGGACAGAAAGACCCUAUGAAGCUUUACUGUAACUUGAGAUUGAAAUUGGACUUUAUUUGCGCAGUAUAGGUGGGAGGCGUUGAGAAUAAUCUUGCGGGAUUAUCGGAGCCAUCAGUGAGAUACCACUCUUGUAAUGUUAGAUUUCUAACUUUGUAUCAUUAUCUGGUCAAAGAACAGUUUCAGGCGGGCAGUUUGACUGGGGCGGUCGCCUCCCAAAGGGUAACGGAGGCGCACAAAGGUUUCCUCUGAACGGGUAGAAAUCGUAUCUAGAGUGUAAAGGCAUAAGGAAGCUUGACUGUGAGACCUACAAGUCGAGCAGGGACGAAAGUCGGUCUUAGUGAUCUGACGGUGCUGAGUGGAAAGGCCGUCACUCAACGGAUAAAAGUUACUCUAGGAUAACAGGCUGAUCUCCCCCAAGAGUUCACAUCGACGGGGAGGUUUGGCACCUCGAUGUCGGCUCAUCGCAUCCUGGGGCGGUAGUACGUCCCAAGGGUUGGGCUGUUCGCCCAUGAAAGCGGUACGCGAGCUGGGUUCAGAACGUCGUGAGACAGUUCGGUCCAUAUCCGGUGUAGGCGUUAGAAUAUUGAAAGGAGCCUUCUCUAGUACGAGAGGACCGAGAAGGACAUACCUCUGGUGUGCCAGUUAUCGUGCCAACGGUAAACGCUGGGUAGCUAUGUAUGGAGUGGAUAACCGCUGAAAGCAUCUAAGUGGGAAGCCCACC
rnacentral:rRNA from 1 species